UCCUCGUUUAAGCGAGGCAGUCUGUCCAGAGUGCUUCCCGAUAUUCUCGGGAGUGGCAACAGGACACAAGGGUUGCGCUCGUUGCGGGACUUAACCCAACAUCUCACGACACGAGCUGACGACAGCCAUGCAGCACCUGUGCAAGCUCCCCUUGCGGGGUCGUUGCCCUUUCAGGCUCCUACCACUUGCAUGUCAAGGCCAGGUAAGGUUCUUCGCGUUGCAUCGAAUUAAGCCACAUACUCCACCGCUUGUGCAGGCCCCCGUCAAUUUCUUUGAGUUUUAAUCUUGCGACCGUACUUCCCAGGCGGCACAUUUAUCGCGUUAGCUUCGCCACAAAAGGGGUCGAAUCCUUUUACAGCAAAUGUGCACCGUUUACAGCUAGGACUAC
rnacentral:misc_RNA from 1 species